rnacentral:rRNA from 1 species
AACCCUGAUCCAGCCAUGCCGCGUGAGUGAAGAAGGCCUUCGGGUUGUAAAGCUCUUUCGGCCGGGAAGAAAUCGUGCAGGCUAAUACCCUGUAUGGAUGACGGUACCGGAAUAAGAAGCACCGGCUAACUACGUGCCAGCAGCCGCGGUAAUACGGAGGGUGCAAGCGUUACUCGGAAUCACUGGGCGUAAAGAGCACGUAGGCGGCCUUGCAAGUCAGAUGUGAAAUCCAACGGCUUAACCGUUGAACUGCAUUUGAAACUGCAAGGCUAGAGUAUGGGAGAGGUAGGUGGAAUUCUCGGUGUAGGGGUAAAAUCCGUAGAGAUCGAGAGGAAUACUCAUUGCGAAGGCGACCUGCUGGAACAUUACUGACGCUGAGGUGCGAAAGCGUGGGGAGCAAACA